UACCUGCAGCUCAAGUGGUGAUCAUUAUUAUUGGGCCUAAAACGUCCGUAGCCGGUUUAGUAAAUGCCUGGGUAAAUCGUGUAGCUUAACUAUACGACUUCCGGGUAGACUACUAAACUUGAGACCGGGAGAGGUUAGAGGUACUCCUGGGGUAGAGGUGAAAUUCUGUAAUCCUAGGGGGACCACCAGUGGCGAAGGCGUCUAGCUAGAACGGGUCUGACGGUGAGGGACGAAGCCCUGGGGCACAAACCGGAUUAGAUACCCGGGUAGUCCAGGGUGUAAACGCUGCUUGCUUGAUGUUAGUUGGGCUCCGAGCCCAACUAGUGUCGGAGAGAAGUUGUUAAGCAAGCUGCCUGGGAAGUACGGUCGCAAGGCUGAAACUUAAAGGAAUUGGCGGGGGAGCACAGCAACGGGUGGAGCGUGCGGUUU
rnacentral:rRNA from 1 species